AUUAAAAUUGAAUUAAAUUGAAUUAAAUUUCCAAACGGCAGACUGGGGUAAUAUUGUAUAAGUAUUUAUUCGGUUGUUAAAUUGUUAAGUAUUUAGUUAUUAAAAUAAUUUAAAAUAAUUUAGAAUGAUAGUCCAAAAGUGAUUACGCGCGGCAGAGUGUUCACUUGUAGAGAUUGAUGACAGCUUGAUUGAGAUUAUAUAAAUCAGAUAAAUAAAAUUAAUUUAAGUUACUCACCAAAAGGUCUUCGGGGAUAUAUGAAUUAUUGAGGCUGGAUCCCCUUAUAGUUUUAUAAGUCUUUAUUUCUUUCAGUUACAAUGUUCCUUCUACAGUCGACAAAAUGGCGGAUGCUUCUUAAGAUGGCAGAUAUGCGGUACAGUGUUGAAGUUCAGUGCGCAAUGUGAACACUCAGAGAAACGUGGUGUUGUUACUUGAAAAGACCGGCGCGCAAUGCUGAUCCGCCGCGGCGCUCGCUUUUAUAUUGUUCGAGUUUGUAGACCGCGGGGUGUGUAACUUAAAUUAAUUUUAUUUAUAUAAUCUCAAUCAAGCUGUCAUCAAUCUCUACAAGUGAACACUCUGCCGCGCGUAAUCACUUUUGGACUAUCAUUCUAAA